rnacentral:rRNA from 1 species
AUUGAACGCUGGCGGCAGGCUUAACACAUGCAAGUCGAGCGGUAGCACAGGGGAGCUUUCUCCCUGGGUGACGAGCGGCGGGGGCGUGAGUAAUGUCUAGCAAACUGCCUGAUGGAGGGGGAUAACUACUGGAAAAGGUAGCUAAUACCGCAUAACGUAGCAACACGAAAGAGGGGGACAUUCGCGGCCCUUGCCCUCUUGUGUGCGCCGAUGUGGGAUUAGCUAGUUGGGGGGGUAAAGGCACACCAAGGCGACGAUCCGUAGCUGGUCUGAGAGGAUGACCAGCCACACUGGAACUGAGACACGGUCCAGACUCCUACGGGAGGCAGCAGUGGGGAAUAUUGGACAAUGGGCGCAAGCCUGAUGCAGCCAUGCCGCGUGUGUGAAGAAGGCCUUCGGGUUGUAAAGCACUUUCGGCGGGAAGGAAGGGCGUGAGCUUAAUACCUUGAUCUUCUGACGUUACCCGCAGAAUAAGCACCGGCUAACUUCGUG